CAGUCACAUUAGGUUGAAAAACCGAUUCUUAUACGAUCACCGAAGUUAAGCAACGUCGAGCCUGGUCAGUAUCUAGAUGGGUGACCGCUUACGAAUACCAGGUGCCGUAAG